rnacentral:rRNA from 1 species
UACGGAGGGUGCGAGCGUUGUCCGGAAUCAUUGGGCGUAAAGGGCGCGUAGGUGGCGGGACAAGCGUGCGGUGAAAGCCUGGGGCUCAACCCCGGGUCGGCCGUGCGAACUGUUUUGCUUGAGCACUGUAGAGGCAGGCGGAAUUCCGGGUGUAGCGGUGGGAUGCGUAGAGAUCCGGAAGAACACCGGUGGCGAAGGCGGCCUGCUGGGCAGUAGCUGACACUGAGGCGCGACAGCGUGGGGAGCAAACAGG